rnacentral:rRNA from 1 species
AGAGUUUGAUCCUGGCUCAGAACGAACGCUGGCGGCAUGCCUAACACAUGCAAGUCGAACGAAGUCUUCGGACUUAGUGGCGCACGGGUGAGUAACACGUGGGAAUCUACCUAAAGGUUCGGAAUAACUGCGGGAAACUGUAGCUAAUACCGGAUGUGUCCGUAAGGAGAAAGAUUUAUCGCCUUUAGAUGAGCCCGCACUAGAUUAGUUUGUUGGUGAGGUAAAAGCUCCACCAAGACUACGAUCUAUAGCUGAUUUGAGAGGAUGAUCAGCCACACUGGGACUGAGACACGGCCCAGACUCCUACGGGAGGCAGCAGUGGGGAAUAUCGGACAAUGGGGGAAACCCUGAUCCAGCAAUGCCGCGUGAGUGAAGAAGGCCUUCGGGUUGUAAAACUCUUUCAUCAAUGAAGAUAAUGACAUUAAUUGAAGAAGAAGCUCCGGCUAACUCCGUGCCAGCAGCCGCGGUAAUACGGAGGGGGCUAGCGUUGUUCGGAAUCACUGGGCGUAAAGCGUAUGUAGGCGGAUCAAAAAGUUAGAUGUGAAAUCCCUGGGCUUAACCCAGGAACUGCAUUUAAAACUAGUGAUCUAGAAUUUGGUAGAGGUUAGUAGAAUUUCCAGUGUAGAGGUGAAAUACGUAGAUAUUGGAAAGAAUACCAGUGGCGAAGGCGACUAACUGGGCCAUUUUUGACGCUGAGAUACGAAAGCGUGGGUAGCAAACAGGAUUAGAUACCCUGGUAGUCCACGCAGUAAACGAUGAGUGCUAGUCGCUGGGUCAAUAGAUUCGGUGU